UGGGGAAUAUUGCACAAUGGGCGCAAGCCUGAUGCAGCCAUGCCGCGUGUAUGAAGAAGGCCUUCGGGUUGUAAAGUACUUUCAGCGGGGAGGAAGGGAGUAAAGUUAAUACCUUUGCUCAUUGACGUUACCCGCAGAAGAAGCACCGGCUAACUCCGUGCCAGCAGCCGCGGUAAUACGGAGGUUGCAAGCGUUAAUCGGAAUUACUGGGCGUAAAGCGCACGCAGGCGGUUUGUUAAGUCAGAUGUGAAAUCCCCGGGCUCAACCUGGGACAUGCAUCUGAUACUGGCAAGCUUGAGUCUCGUAGAGGGGGGUAGAAUUCCAGGUGUGGCGGUGAAAUGCGUAGAGAUCUGGAGGAAUCCCGGUGGCGAAGGCGGCCCCCUGGACGAAGACUGACGCUCAGGUGCGAAAGCGUGGGGAGCAAACAGG
rnacentral:rRNA from 1 species